UUUCCAAUUGCAGAAACUUCAGAGAGGGCCAGGAAUAGAGAAGGAACAACUCGAUGAUGUUGUUCUUCGCCAAUUAACAGAAAGGCAAGGACAAAACUGGUAGGAGCUUACGUUUAGGAGCAUACGUUGGAGCUUUUAUUUAAAAGAAACUGCUAGACUUAGAUUGGAUGAACCAAGCUCUUCUACGACCACUGCUGCAACAUAAAGAAGAUGCACAUUUCAGUUUUCUGCCGGUGCAAAGGUUUUGCGGCAUCCCCAUACUGCAGAAGAUGAGGUGAUGGUUGAUCGGAACAUUAAACCAACCUAACUUGUGUUUUUUUUCUUCAGUUUUAUGUAUAAUGGGGCUGCGUAUUUUUCAGUUAGUUGUUGGUCAUGUAAUUUCUUUAUAAGUGUUGUGUUAUUCUUUUUUUUUUUUUUUUUGGACUUUUGGAUGCGUUGCAGCUUUGUACUUUGUUGUGGACUUGUGCAAUGUGGCAAUGUGCCGUAUGAUGUACUUUUACACCUUUAGGUUCUAUAA